rnacentral:rRNA from 1 species
GACAGAGGAUGCAAGUGUUAUCCGGAAUCACUGGGCGUAAAGCGUCUGCAGGUGGUUUCCUAAGUCCACUGUUAAACCUUGAGGCUCAACCUCAAAUCUGCAUUGGAAACUAGGAGACUUGAGUAUAGUAGGGGUAGAGGGAAUUUCCAGUGGAGCGGUGAAAUGCGUAGAUAUUGGAAAGAACACCGAUGGCGAAGGCACUCUACUGGGCUAUUACUGACACUCAGAGACGAAAGCUAGGGGAGCAAAUGGG